AAUCAUAGAAUACUUAGAGUUGGAAGGGACCUCUGAGGGCCAUCUAGUCCAGCUGCCCUGAAAUGAAAGGGACAUCACAGCUAGUUCACGUUACCCAGGGCCUGAUCCAGCCUCACCUCGAAAGUCUCCAGGGAUGGAGCAUCCACAAUACUAGGGCUGUCUCUUGCUGUGGACUUCGAUCCAGAACAUUGCGGAGAGACUACCAAGGCCUGUCUGGACCUUAGACCAGUGUUCCCAGCUGCUCAUCUGCAUGGGCAGAAUUGGUACAGAAAUGCACGCACCCUGGCAAUCAACCAGAAAGAACUGCAUUUAGUUACAUAACUCAAAUAUU